rnacentral:lncRNA from 1 species
UAAGACAAAAACAAUGAAUAAUUUUAUAACUGUUUAGGUACUUAUAUUUUUAUAAUAGAUUACAAUAUAUAUAUAAAUUACUACAUAUAUAAUUAAAAUUUAAACAAAAAUCCUGAGCGUAGCCUGGGCCGGCCUUAGUAUAAUAUACAAAAUUAGUAAUUUGAAACAUUGUUUAUAAAUGAAAACAUAAAUAAAUUAAAGAAUAAUAUAUGGUAUAGUACAACUUAAUAGAAUUAUCAAAUAAGUAUGCAAAGUAAUUAGUUUUUCGUAAAUCAUAAACAUAACCCCCAAUCCCACCUCACUUUCUAAAUUCUAAACUCUAAACU